rnacentral:rRNA from 1 species
UACGAAGGGGGCUAGCGUUGCUCGGAAUCACUGGGCGUAAAGGGUGCGUAGGCGGGUCUUUAAGUCAGGUGUGAAAUCCUGGAGCUCAACUCCAGAACUGCCUUUGAUACUGAGGAUCUUGAGUUCGGGAGAGGUGAGUGGAACUGCGAGUGUAGAGGUGAAAUUCGUAGAUAUUCGCAAGAACACCAGUGGCGAAGGCGGCUCACUGGCCCGAUACUGGCGCUGAGGCACGAAAGCGUGGGGAGCAAACAGG